rnacentral:rRNA from 1 species
UACGUAGGGGGCAAGCGUUGUCCGGAUUUAUUGGGCGUAAAGAGCGUGUAGGCGGCCAUGCAGGUCCGCUGUGAAAACUCGAGGCUCAACCUCGAGACGUCGGUGGAAACCGCAUGGCUAGAGUCCGGAAGAGGAGAGUGGAAUUCCCGGUGUAGCGGUGAAAUGCGCAGAUAUCGGGAAGAACACCCGUGGCGAAGGCGGCUCUCUGGGACAUUACUGACGCUGAGGAGCGAAAGCGUGGGGAGCGAACAGG